rnacentral:lncRNA from 1 species
AAUCAGAUUCCUAGGAAGAGGAUACCUAGGAAAGUACUUUUGGCAUGUUUGGUUAACCAUGGGAAAGUGACAAAUUUUCAAAGUGCUUUUGUUUGGUUGACCAUCCACUUUCCUAGGAAAGUUAUGUAUAAUUCCUAUUAUGCCCUUAAUAAAAAUUAGGUCUUUAAUGUCUCUUUAAUGCUUCUUUAAUGCUGAAGGGUUUUUUUGGGAAAAAAUAAAAAAGGAG